UUGAAGCACACACCUGGUCUUACAGCAUCCACUUGGAGAUGAGUCUGAUCACUUCUGCCCAUAUUACUUGGCAAAAGCUGGACACACAGCGGAUGCUCAGAAAUCUGCUGAAUGAAGGAGUGCCACAAAGAACAAAAUCUGCUGUUUGGAGCUCACCCCCCAGGGGGCAAUGGAAGGACAAAGGGUGUUGUAGACUCUCCCAGGGUGAUUACGCAACGUGAAGGAGAGGCCUGCUUUUUGCAGGUGUGUGGGGCAGGUGGGGGAUACAGCCGCCAGGCCAAGCUCUUGUUUCAAGAUGAGGAUGAAGAGGAAAUAGCCUGAGAGCCCCCAUUCCCCAUCCCCUCCUCCAGAGGCUCUUCUGAGCUGGCCUCUAUCCACCUCCAGGGUGGAAGCCGGAUAAGACAGUGGGGCACGGGGCCCCUGUGCUUUCAUCGGUUCUGGCCUGCCUGUCCCUGCCUGGGGCCUGGGCACGUCCACAGCUGAACAAGAUGUGGCAGGAAACCAUGAAUCAAGGGGGUGAGGGUAUUAAAGAAGUCAAGCUGACUUCUGGGUCUAAAUCCCUUUCCCUCUCCUUCCAGGCUUGCUCUGGCCUGUCCGUGCCUGGCGGAGUCCAGAGGCUGCCCCCAGCUCUGCCUUUCAAAUUGCUCCGGGAGGUGGGUGGUAGGUGUGAGAACCCAGGGCUGGCUGGGCACGCAGAGGAGAGUCAGAAUCCGGGGUCAGUACUGUUAGCUGCAGGAGCGGGUGUCCUUUCUGCAGCAAUACUUUUAGAGAAGGGGGUGUUUUCUCUGCAGGACAUUAAUCGGUAAGAAGCAGCAGGGCAUUGGGCAAGGGUCAGCAAACUCUUCCUGUAAAGAGCCAGAUAGUAAAUAUUUUAUGCUUUGAGGGCUAUGCAGUCUCUCCUGAAAAGACUCCAACUCCUCUGUUACAGCACAAAAGCAGCCAGACAAUACAUACAUGACGAGAUGUAGCUGCAUUCUAAUAAAGCUUUAUUCAUGGACACUGGAACUGGAAUAUCAUAUAAUUUUCAUGUGUCACAAAA